UCCGAGGGGAGGUAAAGCUGGCGGCCCCGUGCAUGAUCAGGGGCGUUCGCGUCAAACAUCUAUACUUCUCAUCAUCAUCAUCAUCCUCGCGGCAUAUCAGUCAAUGUCAAAUGCGGGCCGUCAUUGUUGAGCUCGAGGUUUUGUCUAAAAUUCACUCCCUCACAUCGGAUAGGGAUGGGACAUACAAAGAGAGGCCGACCUUUACAACUGCCCCUUCGAGCGGGAGAAUACUAGGCGUAUAAUAUUACUGCCGAAAAUUUCAUUUAAAGCUCGCAGACUCGACAUGCGAGUUCCUUUUAAGCCCUAUAACACCGAUCUGAAUGGAUUUUAAUAUAGUUACUGCAGGCCAUGCUCUUUGAAUUUUGUUAGUACUUAAGGCGGAAUAGAAUCCUUGUAAUUAGGAAGUCUCCAGACGCAAGCUGUCGCAUCUGUCAGUUUUUCAUCAGCUUUUUUACCGCUAGAUUAACUUCACUCCACCUAUCAAAUCGUGCUCAUCUGUCGUUGUCACAUCCUUUAUAGUAGGGGGAUUAUGUUCGAUCGAGCGUGCCAAGGACUUAAUGUCUAUGCCUCGAAGGGAUCUGAAAAAUAUAUCAUUUCAAGUGUAGACGCGUGGCAGCCACGUUUUUUUUUCUAUUUGUGUAUUUAAUCUUUUAUAUCAAAAAUGAGCUCGGGAAGACGGCAAAGACAGACUCCGACAUCUCACAAAGUUAUCGAAAAGCGGCGACGCGACAGGAUCAACCGUUGUUUGGUGGAACUCAGCCAGUCCGUACCCAGGGCCUACGCCAGACAGGCUUGUGGAAAACUUGAAAAGGCGGAAAUCCUAGAAAUGACUGUUGAAUAUGUUCGUUAUCUACAAGAAGAACGUCGAC